GACGAACGCUGGCGGCGUGCUUAACACAUGCAAGUCGAACGGAAAGGCCCUGCUUUUGUGGGGUGCUCGAGUGGCGAACGGGUGAGUAACACGUGAGUAACCUGCCCUUGACUUUGGGAUAACUUCAGGAAACUGGGGCUAAUACCGGAUAGGAGCUCCUGCUGCAUGGUGGGGGUUGGAAAGUUUCGGCGGUUGGGGAUGGACUCGCGGCUUAUCAGCUUGUUGGUGGGGUAGUGGCUUACCAAGGCUUUGACGGGUAGCCGGCCUGAGAGGGUGACCGGCCCCAUGGGGACUGAGAUACGGCCCAGACUCCUACGGGAGGCAGGAGUGGGGAAUAUGGCACAAGGGGCGGAAGCCUGAUGCAGCAACGCCGCGUGCGGGAUGACGGCCUUCGGGUUGUAAACCGCUUUCGCCUGUGACGAAGCGUGAGUGACGGUAAUGGGUAAAGAAGCACCGGCUAACUACGU
rnacentral:rRNA from 1 species